rnacentral:tRNA from 1 species
AAUGAAGUGCCUGAGCAAAGGGUAAUUUUGAUAGAAUUAGUAACGUGAGUUUUCACCUUCAUUA